rnacentral:rRNA from 1 species
UACGGGGGUGCGAGCGUUGUCCGGAAUCACUGGGCGUAAAGGGCGCGUAGGUGGUUUGAGUAAGGGUGUGGUGAAAGUCCGGAGCUCAACUCCGGAUCUGCCGUGCCGACUGUCAAACUCGAGGGCUGUAGAGGCAGACGGAAUUCCGGGUGUGAGCGGUGGAAUGCGUAGAGAUCCGGAGGAAGACCGGUGGCGAAGGCGGUCUGCUGGGCAGUUCUGACACUGAGGCGCGACAGC